rnacentral:rRNA from 1 species
GAUGAACGCUGGCGGCGUGCCUAAUACAUGCAAGUCGAGCGAACUGAUUAGAAGCUUGCUUCUAUGACGUUAGCGGCGGACGGGUGAGUAACACGUGGGCAACCUGCCUGUAAGACUGGGAUAACUUCGGGAAACCGAAGCUAAUACCGGAUAGGAUCUUCUCCUUCAUGGGAGAUGAUUGAAAGAUGGUUUCGGCUAUCACUUACAGAUGGGCCCGCGGUGCAUAGCUAGUUGGUGAGGUAACGGCUCACCAAGGCAACGAUGCAUAGCCGACCUGAGAGGGUGAUCGGCCACACUGGGACUGAGACACGGCCCAGACUCCUACGGGAGGCAGCAGUAGGGAAUCUUCCGCAAUGGACGAAAGUCUGACGGAGCAACGCCGCGCGAGUGAUGAAGGCUUUCGGGUCGUAAACUCUGUUGUUAGGAAGAACAAGUACGAGAGUAACUGCUUGUACCUUGACGGUACCUAACCAG